GUUCCGUCUGACAACAGCAUACUCACGUUACUCCAGGACUGGAGAGUCACUACGAGCUGUGCUUACUGGGCGAAUUUAGCGCCCUUGGAAGCGGAAAGAGGUAGGAGGAGACUAAUGGUUUUAUUUAUUGUAAAACAAGUGGUUCAUUUCAUUUAAAACAAACGGGAAAAUGUCAUUAUUUUUAUUUAAAUAAGAGCUGUAACUUGUAAUUAAGCUCGAUUCAUGUGAACAUUCAUUAUUUAAGUUUACUAAAAAGAUUUGUUUAUAAGUUUAAAAAUGUAAACAUGAUUUAUGUAUUGUUUGUGGAAAUAUGGUACGAUGGCAUUUGUAUUUUCUGUCCAUCUUCAUAGUUUUCACGGUGUCAAAAUUGUGAGGAGAAAAGGAGGAGAGAAUUAAAGUUGCACCAGUCGAAGCUCUCUGCAUCUUGUGUCAUUAAUCCAAGUGGGCCGCUACAAAUAGUGCAUUAUUUGGUUCUACUUCCUGUUGGACUACUUGUUUUGCUGCACCUUUUGCUUUAUGUUUAUUUUUUGGCCAGUGUACCUGUUUUCUAUUUCUAAUCAAGUCUAUUUCGGUUCACCUCUUGCUCCUUGCCAGCGCUGGUUUAUUGCCUUUUGUCAGUGUGCAAGUAUUACUCUGCCGCCGCUAUGUGUCUUGCACCAGCCUUUUGUUUUCUGCCAUUUUCUUGCUCUGUAUGUAAAGAAAUGAAUUCUUUGACCUGUACGCCGUCUGCUGUGUCUGCAUCUUGGGGUCACGCCAACAACCACAAUGUGCCACUGUGACAAUCCAAUAACAGUAGAUAUAUGACCAUUUGUAAUGAUGCCAUAGCAUGUAGCCUCCCCUUGAACACUGAUAUUAUUAACCAGUAGCAAGUAGUCGAAUGGAACACAGGAUGUAGCAUACAUUGUUUGUUUGUAUUUUGUAUUUGUCACGGCGCAUGCGCAAUCCCGCUAGAAGCGCGCUGGGACACGGCCCUGCUCGCUCUUCCCGCAUCACGGCCAUGCGCCUGCAAAGCUGCAGGCAAUCACCAAUCUGCGCACCUCGGUCUAAUGAGGGCAUACCGCAUAAAGACCAGCGGACCCGAAAAUCCAGUGCCGGAACGUAGUUCACUCUCCGUAGUAAGCAUCCCGUCUCUGACUUCCUUCCGCGUACUUGCUCUUUCUGUGUUUUCCCUCUGCCCGUGUCUUAUAUGUCCUCAGUGUUCCCCGCAGUGCUCCCUCUGUUUCCCGUGAUCGAGCUGUGUGCCUCGACUUCCCACUGGAUUCUGGACUGCCUCCCUCGAUCAUCGACCCCUGCUUGAACACGGACCUCGUCGCCUCUCUCCAGCCCCCGACUUCUUGCUUCCCCACGGACUGUCUUCUCGCCUUGCCCCUCUGGUCUGACGAAGGAUUCCUCCAACACGCACUUACAACAAACUCUGGACUGUGGAGGGAAGUGUGGCCAGCGCUGCCUGCAGGAGCGGAGGUCACCGCCUCUGUCCAUGGUGCUGAGGACAGAGCACCAUCAUACGGGGGCGUAGCAGUGCCGACGGCGAGACACAGCUGAACAGGUGAUUAGAUCUCCCAGGUGGUACGAGUUAUCUAAUCACCUGUUGUCUUUAACAGUAGCGGCCGGGAACAAUA